rnacentral:lncRNA from 1 species
CUGUUCCUCCAAACUUUAGUUUCUAAGUAUGUUACACAAGUCUUCGUCAUUGAUAUCUCUGAAGGAAGUGACCCCUAUAGAAACUGGCCUGAUCGGGAAUCUCAGCCUUUGUACAAGUCUUCGUCAUUGAUAUCUCUGAAGGAAGUGACCCCUAUAGAAACUGGCCUGAUCGGGAAUCUCAGCCUUUGUACAAGUAGCACAAACUCUGGGGUACUAUUCCUCUUAUUAAUCAUUUGCAUUAUGGUAAAAAUCAUAACCAAGAUAGCGGUCCUGUUAUGCUGGGUGCUAUUGAAAACAAAAACAGUAAGAUGCAGUCCCAAAGAUCUUACAAUCUAAAGAAGGCCAAGGUCUGAGAAAGGGGAGGUACUGCUUUCCAUAUUUUACAGAUGGGAGUGGAAGCAUGGAGAUUAAAUGCCUUGCCCACGGUCACAUAGGAAAUCUAGGUUCAAUUCCCAAGUCUGCUACAGAUCUGAGUUCUAGUCCAGUCUCUUAACCAUAAAACCAUUUGUCUAUUUAAGGCCCUGAUCAGCAAGGUACGGAAAGAAGUACAUUGCUUCAUUUGAAUCAUAUGAGUAGUCCUAUUAGUGUGACUGUUAGGCACAUCCUAAAACAGCUCGCUGGAUCAAGGGCAAUGCCACUCCCUUCGAAUCAAUGUAACAACAUUUGUGCAUUUCAGGGGUUCUAGACUGAUAGUUUAUAUUGUGGUCUGUGUGCCUCCCAUUCCCUAGAGCAGGGGUCGGCAACCUUUCAGUAGUGGUGUGCCGAGUCUUCAUGUAUACACUCUCUAAUUUAAGGCUUCGCGUGCCGGUAAUACGUUUUAAGUUUUUUUAGAAGGUCUCUCUAUAAAUAGAGCCUUUUGGUGGCAGUCUGCACAAUGAAAUAUUUUGGGAACCAUAUAGUGGAGGAGGAGGUGUGUGAUGUACUCCACUAGACUGUUUCUUUACCAAAAUGUUUUGUUUCAAAUUUAUAUCUUUAAGGGCUUAAGACACUGCUAUGUUAGUACAUUGGUCUAAACAUGGUUGAAAGAACAACCUCUUUAGGAAUGUGAAUACACAUUUCAAAUUUAUAGUAAUGUAUAAUUUUUCAAAUAAAUUUGUGCAGAUAGUGACUGUUUUGAUCUGC